rnacentral:rRNA from 1 species
GGGCUAGGCGGGCAGGCUUACACAUGCAAGUCGAGGGGUAGAGGUUGCUUGCAACCUUGAGACCGGCGCACGGGUGCGUAACGCGUAUGCAACCUACCUUUUACAGAGGGAUAGCCCAGAGAAAUUUGGAUUAAUACCUCAUAGUAUAUAACAUUCGCAUGUUUGUUAUAUUAAAGUUCCAACGGUAAAAGAUGGGCAUGCGUCCUAUUAGCUAGAUGGUAAGGUAACGGCUUACCAUGGCCACGAUAGGUAGGGGUCCUGAGAGGGAGAUCCCCCACACUGGUACUGAGACACGGACCAGACUCCUACGGGAGGCAGCAGUGAGGAAUAUUGGACAAUGGGCGCAAGCCUGAUCCAGCCAUGCCGCGUGCAGGAAGAAGCAUCUAUGGUGUGUAAACUGCUUUUGUACGGGAAGAAACACUCCUUCGUGAAGGAGCUUGACGGUACCGUAAGAAUAAGGAUCGGCUAACUCCGUGCCAGCAGCCGCGGUAAUACGGAGGAUCCAAGCGUUAUCCGGAAUCAUUGGGUUUAAAGGGUCCGUAGGCGGUUUGGUAAGUCAGUGGUGAAAGCCCGCAGCUCAACUGUGGAACGGCCAUUGAUACUGCCAGACUUGAAUUACAAGGAAGUAACUAGAAUAUGUAGUGUAGCGGUGAAAUGCUUAGAUAUUACAUGGAAUACCAAUUGCGAAGGCAGGUUACUACUUGUGGAUUGACGCUGAUGGACGAAAGCGUGGGGAGCGAACAGGAUUAGAUACCCUGGUAGUCCACGCCGUAAACGAUGGAUACUAGCUGUUGGGGGCAACUUCAGUGGCUAAGCGAAAGUGAUAAGUAUCCCACCUGGGGAGUACGUUCGCAAGAAUGAAACUCAAAUGAAUUGACGGAAGGGCGAAUUCUGCA